AACGCACAUUGCGCCCCUUGGUAUUCCGAGGGGCACACCUGUUCGAGCGUCAUUACAAACCUCAAGCUCUGCUUGGUAUUGGGUGCCGUUAGAGCCUCUCUUCUGGGGAGUCUUAACGCGCCUUAAAGACCUCGGCGACGUUGUUUCCAACUUCGAGCGUAGCAAACACUUUCGCUUCUGGAGUUUUGGGCGACGUUUUGUCCGUAAACAACCCUUUUUUUUUCAAAGGUUGACCUCGGAUCAGGUGGGGAUACCCGCUGAACUUAA
rnacentral:misc_RNA from 1 species